rnacentral:rRNA from 1 species
UGGGGAAUAUUGGACAAUGGGCGAAAGCCUGAUCCAGCGACGCCGCGUGGGUGAAGAAGGCCUGCGGGUUGUAAAGCCCUUUCAGUGGGGAAGAAAAGCCUCGAGCUAAUACCUCGGGGUCUUGACGUAACCCAUAGAAGAAGCACCGGCUAACUCUGUGCCAGCAGCCGCGGUAAUACAGAGGGUGCGAGCGUUAAUCGGAAUUACUGGGCGUAAAGCGCGCGUAGGCGGCUUUGCAAGUCGGGUGUGAAAUCCCCAGGCUUAACCUGGGAACUGCAUUCGAGACUGCAUUGCUAGAGUAUGGGAGAGGGAAGUGGAAUUUCCGGUGUAGCGGUGAAAUGCGUAGAUAUCGGAAGGAACAUCAGUGGCGAAAGCGACUUCCUGG